UGGGGAAUAUUGGGCAAUGGGGGAAACCCUGACCCAGCAACGCCGCGUGAAGGAAGAAGGUUUUCGGAUCGUAAACUUCUAUCCUUGGUGAAGAGAAGAAGACGGUAGCCAAGAAGGAAGCCCCGGCUAACUACGUGCCAGCAGCCGCGGUAAUACGUAGGGGGCAAGCGUUGUCCGGAAUCAUUGGGCGUAAAGCGUUCGUAGGCGGUAUGUCAAGUCUGGUGUUAAAGCCCGAGGCUCAACCUCGGUUCGGCAUUGGAUACUGGCAAACUAGAAUGUGGUAGAGGUAAAGGGAAUUCCUGGUGUAGCGGUGAAAUGCGUAGAUAUCAGGAGGAACAUCGGUGGCGAAAGCGCUUUACUGGACCAUUAUUGACGCUGAGGAACGAAAGCCAGGGGAGCAAAUG
rnacentral:rRNA from 1 species